rnacentral:rRNA from 1 species
GACGAACGCUGGCGGCGUGCCUAAUACAUGCAAGUUGAGCGCUGAAGGUUGGUACUUGUACCAACUGGAUGAGCAGCGCACGGGUGAGUAACGCGUGGGGAAUCUGCCUUUGAGCGGGGGACAACAUUUGGAAACGAAUGCUAAUACCGCAUAAAAACUUUAAACACAAGUUUUAAGUUUGAAAGAUGCAAUUGCAUCACUCAAAGAUGAUCCCGCGUUGUAUUAGCUAGUUGGUGAGGUAAAGGCUCACCAAGGCGAUGAUACAUAGCCGACCUGAGAGGGUGAUCGGCCACAUUGGGACUGAGACACGGCCCAAACUCCUACGGGAGGCAGCAGUAGGGAAUCUUCGGCAAUGGACGAAAGUCUGACCGAGCAACGCCGCGGGAGUGAAGAAGGGUGUCGGAUCGUAAAACUCUGUUGGUAGAGAAGAACGUUGGUGAGAGUGGAAAGCUCAUCAAGUGACGGUAACUACCCAGAAAGGGACGGCUAACUACGUG